GAUGAACGCUGGUGGCGUGCUUAACAUAUGCAAGUCGAACGGAAAGGCUCCUGCUUGCAGGGGUACUCGAGUGGCGAACGGGUGAGUAACACGUGGGUGAUCUGCCCUGCACUUCGGGAUAAGCCUGGGAAACUGGGUCUAAUACCGGAUAGGACGAUGGUUUGGAUGCCAUUGUGGAAAGUUUUUCGGUGUGGGAUGAGCUCGCGGCCUAUCAGCUUGUUGGUGGGGUAAUGGCCUACCAAGGCGUCGACGGGUAGCCGGCCUGAGAGGGUGUACGGCCACAUUGGGACUGAGAUACGGCCCAGACUCCUACGGGAGGCAGCAGUGGGGAAUAUUGCACAAUGGGCGCAAGCCUGAUGCAGCGACGCCGCGUGGGGGAUGACGGCCUUCGGGUUGUAAACUCCUUUCGCUAGGGACGAAGCGCAAGUGACGGUACCUGGAGAAGAAGCACCGGCUAACUACGUG
rnacentral:rRNA from 1 species